GGGGUCUCCCCGGCCUCUGCAUCAGAAAGAUGCAUACAGCCAUCUUAUUAAUAAAGGUGUCCACAAGGUUCCAAAGUCUCGAGCCAAACAUCAAGCAAAAGAUAAAUGCAGCUCACCCAGAGCGACCGACGGCUAGAUACACAAGCUAGCCCAAAAAAAGAUGCCACAACCGGCUGGCUAAAAAUAGAUAGGGAAACUAAUUGCCUAUCCUAUUACAUGACCGCCAUCCAAACCGGUUGAAGAUAUCCCGAGCUACCAUCUCCCAGCGGAUAGAUCCAGUAACAAAAAAAAUAUAGUACUAAUACUAUUGUCAUGACAAAAAAAGAAAUGUAGUUGUUCACUCACUGAGAGAAAGUAGCUCGGAAGAUGGUAGUCUCUGAGGGCGACUCUAAGGGCGACCCGCUGGGCGCCCCGCGGGCAUCCGUGCCGCCUCCCCUCCCUCCACUUCUGUAGCCACCACCACCUCCCGGACCGCUGCUGAUGGCUCCGCCAUUGGCGGUGGACUUGUGCUGUCCCCUGCCGACGCCGACCCCCCUGCACCCGCACCAGCAUCGUUCCGCGACCAGGUAUCGCCUUCCACGCCCGUGUUCAGUCUUCCUUCCUUUCCGGGGUUUCCCCCGCUCUCCCCGGCGGAGUCCCGUCGGGGGUCCUCUGGGUGGUCGCGCCGUUCCCGUCNNNNNNNNNNAGGGGCGGCGCGUCACGGGACGGUGCACCGAAGCCUCCCCUUCCUCGCACACGUACACAUGGGCGCGGCCCGGCUAUAAAAGUCGGCGGCCUCCACUCGCCUGUGCCCACACCAGCCCCGCCCCUCGCCGCCGUCCAGCCCCUCCCUCUCCCUGCCUCUCCCGAGCGCCGCCGCCCAGCCCCUCCCUCUACCUCUCCCGAGCCCGCCCAACGCCGCCGUCGCCAUGGCGGAACGCUUCCCUGGAGACAAGGCGGCGGCCAACGGCUUCGGCCGUCGUUCGCUCCGCGAACAGGAGUCCUGGCUCCUGUUCCAGGCGAACAUCCCGGGGCCGCCGGACAUGCGCGCCGGGCCAACAGGGUGGAGGCUCAGCGCCGGGGGAGUGCCCAUUCCCCCGUUGCCCGACGCCGUGGCGAAGCCGAACUACUUCGCCGAGGAGGUCGAGAUCAUGCGCGCGUCCCUCACCGACGCCCAACUCUCCCUCCCCCAGUACGCCGCCGACAACCACGCGGCCUGGGCGGCGUAUUUCGAGCGCCGCCAGCAGCAGCGCUUGGCGUCCACCAACGGCGCGCCGGUGGUCGGCGGCCGGCAGAACAGCGAGGGGCGCCACCUCUGGUGGGGCGUCCCCGGCCGCACGCUCGAGGGCGCGCUCACGUACCUCGAGGGCGGCAACGACCCGCCGUUGGCGUACCCCCCGGCGAGGGUGGCCGCCUCGGCGCAGCACCGACGCGUUGGGCCAUGGGCGUCAAGGAGGUUCGGCGCCUCCUCUUCUUCCUCCUCAUCGCGUUCUUCUUCACACUCCUCCGGCUCUCCGUCGCUGCUCGGCGUCAAGGCCGAGCCCGCGGCGGAGACGCCGCUCGGGCGGCGCACUCGCAGCGUCGGCAUCGUCAUCAACGAGGGCGGCCGGCGCGCCUCCUCCUCGCCGGUUCCUCCGCGCUUCGUCAAGCCAAAAACGGAGUCGGGGCUGGCGCCGGUGAAGACGGAGCCGGGGCUGGCGCCGGUGAAGGCGGAGUUCGACGACGACGACGCGACCCUUGAAUGGGCGCGCCAGGACUCCAUUGCGAUGGAGAAGGCGCGCCGGCAGAAGGAGAAGGAGCGCCAGCGCGCCGCCCUACGCCGCUUCGAGGAGCGCCGACGCGGCCGCGAGGAAGGCGGGGUCGUCGUCUUAUGCGACAGCGACGACGACGACGACGCGCCGCCGCCUGUUCGCCAUGGCGACGCCGGGUAGGGGUCCAGCAGGGGCACCCGCGUCAAGGAGGAGAAGGCCGACGACGAUGAUGGCGGCAACGACUUCAGCCCCUUUCUUUUUUUUAGAUUAGGUUAAUGUAAUGUUUGGACGAAUUUCGCCGAAAUUUGCCAUGUUUGGCCGAAAUUUAACUAGUUUUUAUCAUAACUUUGCCGAACGUUCUUUUUUUUGUUUUUUAAUACGCACCUGAGGGCGGCCUUCGGGACCGACUCGCCCCAGGGUCAUUUUUUGCUCCGGCUCACCCUCAGACGGCGCUUUUAGACGCCCCCUAGGGGCCAACGGUUAGAGAUGCACUAAGUAGACUACUCCUGCAAAAGAGUCCGGUUGGUUCGAUUUCCUAGCGAUCCUCCAACUAUCACACAGACUAUUGUCCCUCUGCAUAAUAAAAUGUAAAUACCACUGCACCAGACGAUGUGAGACCAGCAUACGCGUGCAUGCAUGCAUACUGCUUCACAACGUGUUCUUGUUUUUUUUAGGGGACAACAACGCACAACGUGUUUUUUUAGGGGACAAGAACGCACAACGUGUGCGUUGAAGAAAUGCACGUACCCGGCCCCUUGCCAGUACGGUAUAUUGUAGUCGUACGAGUGUCUGAUUACUCUCAUCGACAGUUCGGUAGAAUUGCAGUACUGCCGUCCAUUUAUGUACGUACUGAAUGGACGUGUCAUCUAAUAUUUUAAUUCACUGGAGAUGUGUGAGUUAAGGAUGAAAGAGACAACCGAAGAAGACACCCUUUCGAAUCCAAGCUACACAAAGUGUAAAUGGCUAGGCUAGUCGAUACCUUACCAAUUUUGCUCUCAAGGUCCAAUUCAUCCCUAGCUAGCUACUACUCCCUCCGUUCCUUAUUAUAGUGCGUAUAACUUUUUUGCCAAAAUUCCAGAUUGUAGUACGCGUUUGCAAUUUUAGACCAAACUAACCUUCACUCAAAUCGCUGGAAGAGUUACUCCCACAGCAGCAUGCACAUGGGGUGGUGGGUCACAUGCGGUAAAGGAUGGGCUUUCUCGUCCAAAGUAUAAUGGCCAGCACAUUCGUUGGUAUGAGAGCCCCAGUCUAUACGCACUAUAAUAAGGAACAGAGGGAGUGUUAUUUUUGUGAUCCUUGUCUCCUCCUUCUUCUCUUGUUUAAUUUCUGGCUCCGCACCAAUCAGUAAUUCGGUAGUACUAAUACUAUUUUUUCCGAAAAGGGGGGUCUCCCCGGCCUCUGCAUCAGAAAGAUGCAUACAGCCAUCUUAUUAAUAAAGGUGUCCACAAGGUUCCAAAGUCUCGAGCCAAACAUCAAGCAAAAGAUAAAUGCAGCUCACCCAGAGCGACCGACGGCUAGAUACACAAGCUAGCCCAAAAAAAGAUGCCACAACCGGCUGGCUAAAAAUAGAUAGGGAAACUAAUUGCCUAUCCUAUUACAUGACCGCCAUCCAAACCGGUUGAAGAUAUCCCGAGCUACCAUCUCCCAGCGGAUAGAUCCAG
rnacentral:lncRNA from 1 species